rnacentral:tRNA from 1 species
GACAAAUGUUUACAGGUCUUCUAAAUCUGUUUUGGGGUAAUCCCGUUUGUUU